AGCGUUGAAACAUCGGUUCCCGUACGAUCACUGAAGUUAUGCCACGUCGAGCCUAGUGAGUACCUAGAUGGGUCACCGCUUGAGAAUACCAGGUGCUGUCAG